AAUGGGUGCUCGGGCAACGAUGGCAAAGGUCCAUGUCAGGAGCGUUGCACUCCUUCACCUAACAAUGGAUACAGCUGUUCUUGCAUAAGUCCCGGGACAGAGCUCUCGACCGACGGGGUUUCGUGCGACAAGUUGUCUGUUGUACCCGAGGACACGUAUGAGUAUAUCUGGCCGUCAAACUCAACUGGCUUUUCAAACAGCAGCGAUGGGAUUGAUGAUAUCGAGGGUUCUGGGAUGGAGGAGGAGACACCGUCCGGAAAGAAAGACGCGGAUCGCGUCACGCCGGAAUGUCCGAUAGGAUUUGCUCCAGUCAACGGCACAUGCGAAGAUAUCAACGAAUGCUCCUCCGGGACCAGCAACUUGUGUGCCCACAUCUGCAACAACACCAUUGGAAGUUUUCGCUGUAGCUGCAGGGAAGGAUACACGUUGAGCGAGACUGGGACCGGCU